UACGUAGGGUGCAAGCGUUAAUCGGAAUUACUGGGCGUAAAGCGUGCGCAGGCGGUUUUGUAAGACUGACGUGAAAUCCCCGGGCUCAACCUGGGAAUGGCGUUGGUGACUGCAAGGCUAGAGUUUGGCAGAGGGGGGUAGAAUUCCACGUGUAGCAGUGAAAUGCGUAGAGAUGUGGAGGAACACCGAUGGCGAAGGCAGCCCCCUGGGUCAAGAUUGACGCUCAUGCACGAAAGCGUGGGGAGCAAACAGG
rnacentral:rRNA from 1 species